rnacentral:sRNA from 1 species
CCCGGGGCUCGCGCCCCGGGCUAUUCACGGUCGCCCCUCCGGGGCU